ACAGUGGCAAGUGGUGGCCCUUAACUCUCCUUCUAUUUUAUGCAGUCCAGGAAUCCCAGUCCAUGGGAUGGUGGCACCAACAUUCAGGAUGGGUCUCCUCUCUACAGUUAAAUCUCUCUGAAAAUGCCCUCACAGACCUACCCAGAGUCCCCUCCAUUCCCUCUGCUUCCUGUCUGCCAUGAACUGAAGAAUCUCUCAGCUAUGUGCUUCUGCCAUCACGAUGUUCUGUCCAAGUGAAUGAGGCCAAGCAAGCUGGGACUGAACCCCAUGAGUCAUGAGCCAAUGCCUGCCUCACACUCUUACACUUGGGCAGCAAGAAGGAAGCUGAUGGAACUCCAAACAGGCCUGCACUGGCGCAUCACUAAAACCCAGGAAAUCCUGCACCACAACUUGGCUUUUAUCUGGAGCCCUCCACCUUUGGACAAGAAAUUUAAAGAACUGUGAUCUGCCUUAGUAGCAGACUGUACCUAGAAAUACAGCCUGAAAAUAUGUCUAAGUGCUGA